rnacentral:lncRNA from 1 species
AUGGCACCGAAUGAAGAUGUCAUUGUCAGCACCCUGGGAAAGGCUGUUUGGUUUGGAUCUGCUCGGCAAAGCCAGAGCGAGCGCUUGUGGUGUUGCCCCUGCCAGGCUGCCACAUGGAGCAGCCAUGUUCAUGGCCAACACAGGCCGUGCAGGGAGGACAGAGAGCUUUGUGGUGGCACCGUGUCCUCCACACGUUGUCCCUUCUCCAAGAGCACUUCAAUGCAUUGCUGCAGGUCAGUGAACAAGAGUGAAUGUUUGCUGGGAGAGAGCACUGAGGACCCUGGCCAGGCAAGCUCUGUAAGAAACUCAAAGUACGACGUCCCUCGAGUCUAUGGAUGGAGCAGCACUACCUGCAGGGUCCUGAAUAAAUUCUCAGAGCUACAGCAGAGCUCAGAGGUGAGUCUGAAGCCACUUGCUGCUUCCAUCCCCAAUUGUGCAUGUCUGCCUCUUCCCUUGUGCCCGCUCGUCCAGAGUCCUCGCAGCUCUGCAAUGAAUUGUAGCUCAACCCCGUGGAUAAUUGAUUUCUGAGCAUAUCAACCAAUAUGAAGGGCAAGGAGGAAAAAUGCAGCCCUGUCCUUUAUUGACAGCAGUGCUCUCACAGAUUGUUUUAAACCAACCCUGAAGCCAUACCUGGAGGCUGUGCUCUAUGUUGUGCUUUACAGGUUCAACGCAAGAGGAACUACCUGGGAAGGUUUUGGAGGAAGUAAACAGGGGUUUGGCAAAGGGCAGGGGGAAUUAAACUGGAGAACCAAGGUGAUGCAUCCAGUCAUAUGUGAAGUUGGUGGUGUUGGCAAGAGACAACUAGAUCCCACUGUUUAGCAGCCUCAGCUUGGUGAGAGUAUCCUAAAAGUCCUAACCAUUUAGAAAAUGAUGUGUAUUGAUGAUAUCUGCUCUGGACUCAUGAUGGCAAGUGAUUGAGUUAGGAUUUCUUGGCAAGUUACCUCUCAUCAGAAGCACCGCAGUGAUAGUUUUUAUGAAAGAAAUGGAGUUUUACAAGAUUGUGCAGAAGGCUUGGAGGUAGUGUAGUGACUGGGGAGUGGGACAAUGUGUGAUAAAUCAAAGGGACUGGCUUUUGGAUAGGGUGGAGGAGAAGGAGAGGAGCUAGAAAGAGAGGGAAGUCAAGUAGGUGAGAGGAGAGGUGAUCAGAAUAGGAAUAGGUAUUUUAGCAAGGGAGUGAUAGAGGAAAGGGCUGACUUGAAAACCUUCUCUGGAAGCUUCCUGAUGUACUAUUUUUGAAGCCUUCCCUGACCCUUUUUUGUUGUGCCCUCAAUUAUUUGGGGUAAGCAUUGUCCCUAUCUUUGUUAGCUCAUCUAUACGUGCAUGCAACCUAAUGACAUGGGUGAGCUACUUAAUCCUAGUCUGUCAGUGUCAUCCAGGAUUAAUUUACUCCCUGUUCAGCACUGACUGUCACUUGGAUGAGUGUCUCCUGCACCAUUUAUUUCCUUCUGCUCUUUUCUUCCCCUUUGGCCGUGCCUUUGGCAAGGGGCCCCGCAGCUGAAAUGCCCCCUGUGACAUUCCACCAGAUUCC